rnacentral:rRNA from 1 species
UACAGAGGGUGCGAGCGUUGUCCGGAAUCACUGGGCGUAAAGGGCGCGUAGGUGGCGGCCCAAGUCCAUGGUGAAAGCUCGAUGCUCAACAUCGAGUCGGCCACGGAGACUGGGUUGCUCGAGCACUGUAGGGGCAGAUGGAAUUCCGGGUGUAGCGGUGGAAUGCGUAGAGAUCCGGAAGAACACCGGUGGCGAAGGCGGUCUGCUGGGCAGUUGCUGACACUGAGGCGCGAAAGCCAGGGGAGCAAACGGG